rnacentral:rRNA from 1 species
UACGGGGGGAGCAAGCGUUGUUCGGAUUUACUGGGCGUAAAGGGCGCGUAGGCGGUCAGCACAGGUCAGUUGUGAAAUCUCCGGGCUUAACUCGGAACGGCCAAGUGAUACUGUCAAGCUAGAGUGCAGAAAGGGCAAUCGGAAUUCUUGGUGUAGCGGUGAAAUGCGUAGAUAUCAAGAGGAACACCUGAGGCGAAGGCGGGUUGCUAGGCUGACACUGACGCUGAAGCGCGAAAGCCAGGGGAGCAAACGGG